ACCUGAAUAGCUCAGAUGGCUAGAGCAUCUGUUUCAUAAGCAGAGGGCCAUUGGUUCAAUCACAAUUUCAGGUA
rnacentral:tRNA from 1 species